UGUCUUUGUUUAUUUGUCAACACGGCAACAACUGACAGGCACGACGUUUACGGGGAAACAUACAAAUCUACACUAUAACCAGUAGCAGCAGCAAUAGAAGUAGGCGACCUCUUGUUUUGUCUGCAGCACAUACAGUCUCCACCGCUACUAUCCGUCAUUGUGCUGAGCUUUUUAGAACAUUAGCAGAUUAUGACGAGAACAACCGGCAAUCCCUAAUACCGAACAGGACUGCCACUCAGUUGAGACGUUUUAUGACGGCGAUAGAAGCGCCGAUUGAGCGUAUUGGGAUUCGACAAACAAAACAAUUGCUAAAUCGCUCAAGUGAUAUGAUAAAGGACAACGAACAGGUGACAAUCAUUCUACCUGCUCCACUGGGACGUCAACGAAAAAUUAGAUCUACAAUGGGGGAAAAAAAAGGCGAGAUAAAAAGAGCGAAAAUAAGAUCGUUAGUGUCUAUAUAAUAUAUAUAUUCGUGUUAUAAUUGCUAGAAUUCAAUGGGGCUGGUGUUGGAAAGGUCAAAAUGAGCAUAGCAGUAACGAACGUUGAGAUGGCUGUGUCGGUGAUAAUGCAAAUUACGACGUCGCCAUUUUCGAAGUCAUUGGACUCGUUGGAGCAUUUUAGUAAGCGCACGGUUAAGUAGUGAGUAGCCAAGUCUUCGUGAUGCAGACGGUGACCAAGCUCGGAACAAUAACGGUGAGUCACAAAAUACAAAUAUAAAUAAGAGAACGAAAAUGCUCGGUAUCAUUGCCACCAAAACCGUUAUCAGCAACAUCGGCUAACUGUAUAAAUCAUAAAAGGGGUAAGGAAACUAGCAAAUGAAAAUUCGAAAAACCAUGACGUUAUUGUUACGCAUAGUCGAGAUGACGACCCCUCGACCACUUUCGGUUACUCCCAGCCGCGAAGCUCGUUGACGAGACUAAAAUUCAUUCUAGCGAAGCAUGGUUAGACACUGACUGAUGGCUCCUGCGUUUCGCAAAACGCUACCGUAAGCCGCGCCCUGAAUAGUGUAAGUGGAUAGAACUUUUCCGUUCAGAGCUACACCGAACGCCGGUUGCUGUUUAAAAACGCAAAAUGACCACAUCAGCAUUUUUUCCCACAUUCAGAAACACCAAUAGAGGAGGCAGCGAUUAGAACAAAAGCGUCUCAGGCUAGCAUUAGGGCCGAAGGCCAAAAAAAAAUGCAAUCAAGGGAAAAUGACAAAGUCGACUGAAAAAAACUAUAAGGAACCGGAGGAAUAAAGAUGGACAAGAAAAAACACAACAGCAGAAUUACGAUCAUGAUCUCUAUCAGCAUUCAGCUACACACACCCAUGUGAGUCAGGAAGCCGUUAAGGUUGUGGGUCUACGUCGCUUCACCGCGCCAUCGUACCCUCGGGAGGCAGUGCACAGACGGCAUGACAACUGCACAAGAGCAACAAACCUCUAUAUAUGGAAUAGUAAUGAUCACUUAAUAAUGGGUCGAUCGACGGCAGCCGCAAUGACAUUGCCGCAAAAUAUUUGACACAAUUUUCAAUAUUGGAGGAGAAUUCGUCAUAGAUCCUAAGGCGCACACAGCUACCGUCGUAACUCGACGUACUACGGCUACCGUAGGUUUGUCGGUGAUUGGCUCCACUAGAGUCGCUGUGGAGCCCCACUAUUGGCUAGCAUUUGUAUCUAUUUGGAAGCAUUACUACCGUCCACCGGCACCUGCUCGUUGAUACUAGCUGCUGUUAUUGGUUCAGACAUUAUAACAAAUUUUUACUAUAUGUUACCGCAAAGACACCCAUAAAGAAGAAGAGCAAAGCCUGAGAUGUAAACCAGGUCGAAGAGUAGAAAACUCGUCUAGUUAUGCUGAAUUCCUUUAUUACAGCAGGAAGAUCAGCAGAGUCCGCUGAGCUACACAUAUCUGAGGAGGCGACGUACUAAAUUCUUUAGCCAGCGAGCAACCGGAUCUGUUCGCCACUACGGAUGUGCGCCACGAUAUAUUAAUGCGGCCACUGCCAUAUUAACGGCUCUUCAGAGACAUUUGGGAUCCACUAAAAUCAUCUGCAAGCAUAAUGUUCAAUGUUUCAAUGCGCUAGUACGGACGGAAGACAAGACGAAAUCGUAUCUACGUCAUUAGGAAAUACAUUUCUGAAGCUUUCUCACUCCAGCCGCCCCUUCUGGCCUGCUUCUGCGGGAUUGCUGUCUAUGAAACACGGUAGCUUCGAUUUGAAGGCUGACUUCAAGCAGGAACCAGUCGACCCCUUCUGAUGAGCGCUGUUAAAUGCUGAAUCCCCGAUUCGCGGUUUUUCGGCUCAGUAAAGCGAUCGUUAGCGUACCCGUCUUCGAAAUCGCCGCUGCCGUUGCUACGACCGGCAACAGUAAAAGUACCUACAAGCAGCCAGAAGAGCUAACCGGCAGAGUCCUGCUGCUACAACAACAACGUACCUACUCCACCCGCUACUUCUGCGUCUGAUGGUGUCCUGGAUAGAGCGAAAUUUCGCCGGCUGCACCGUCGUUCGCACCACCCCAGGAGCGCCAAAAGCAGAAGCUAACAACAGUCGACCGAGUUGACCGAACAGGCGAACGCUCGGUCGUAGAUGAAACGGAGGCCGUAACUGAGACAGCGUGUGUAACCGCCAGCCAAGCCACCGAUCACAAAUAAUAAUAAUGAAACCGCAACAGUGCCGCUCCACAACGGCAUAAGGCGUCGCAUUGCUUUGCAUGACAUGCCGCGGCGUAACGGCUGAAUCGUAAAAAGCGUCAAUAGAACAGUGUUUGGUGAAGGAGCGCUAACGCCGGUAGCUGUACGA